GGUUCCUACGGGACGCAGCAGUGAGGAAUAUUGGUCAAUGGCCGAGAGGCUGAACCAGCCAAGUCGCGUGAGGGAUGACGGCCCUACGGGUUGUAAACCUCUUUUGUCGGGGAGCAAGACCCGCCUCGCGCAGGCGGAGCGAGAGUACCAGAAGAAAAAGCAUCGGCUAAAUCCGUGCGAGCAGCCGCGGUAAUACGGAGGAUGCGAGCGAUAUCCGGAUUUAUUGGGUUUAAAGGGGGCGCA
rnacentral:rRNA from 1 species